rnacentral:rRNA from 1 species
CUGUAAUUGCUAGUUUAUUGGUUAAAGAAGCCGUUGGUCCAAGUAUAAAAUCGGCGGCUUCUUUAACAAUAAGCAACACUAUCAAAUUGCGGGGACACCCUAAAGACCUUAACACCAAGCAGCAUUGGAAACGGUGCUGUGGCCGAGCUAAUAGCCCUGGGUAUGGUAACAGUUUAAGGUAUGAUCUUCCUCUCCUUUAACCAGAGACAGUGAAGAGAAAUGGGCAAUCCGCAGCCAAGUCCUAAAGCUUUUUGGUUCUCAAAAAGCCACGGAUGCUGUUCACAGGCCAAAUGGUAGUGGGUGAAGCUGAUUGCGGCUUUGCUUAAGAUAUGGUCGGUCCUCUUGUGAAAGCUUGAGGGGAAGAUUCACCACAGCCUCCGUUUCGAACGAGGGAAGCUGUACCUAAACAAAAACGUUCCGUAGGUGAACCUGCGGAAGGAUCAUUA